rnacentral:misc_RNA from 1 species
GCGGACUACAGGGGUAUCUAAUCCUGUUUGCUACCCAUACUUUCGUUCCUCAGCGUCAGUAUCGAUCCAGAGUGGCGCCUUCGCCACCGGUGUUCCUCCUAAUAUCUGCGCAUUCCACCGCUACACCAGGAAUUCCAGUCUCCCCUACC